rnacentral:rRNA from 1 species
UAGGCGCACGGGUGAGUAACACGUGGAUCAUCUACCUUUUAGUGGGGAAUACCUCUGGGAAACCGGAGACAAUACCGCAUAAGCCUGUAAAGGGAAAGCAGCAAUGCGCUGAAAGAGGAGUCCGCGGCCGAUUAGCUAGUUGGCGGGGUAAUGGCCCACCAAGGCGACGACGGGUAGCUGGUCUGAGAGGAUGGCCAGCCACAUUGGGACUGAGAUACGGCCCAG